rnacentral:rRNA from 1 species
GGGGAAUAUUGGACAAUGGGCGAAAGCCUGAUCCAGCGACGCCGCGUGGGUGAAGAAGGCCUGCGGGUUGUAAAGCCCUUUCGGUAGGGACGAAAGCUCUUGCUCCAACACAGCAGGAGGUUGACUUAACCUACAUAAGAAGCACCGGCUAACUCUGUGCCAGCAGCCGCGGUAAUACAGAGGGUGCGAGCGUUAAUCGGAAUUACUGGGCGUAAAGCGCACGUAGUCGGCUUUGCAAGUCGGGUGUGAAAUCCCCGGGCUCAACCUGGGAACUGCAUCCGAGACUGCAUUGCUAGAGUAUGGGAGAGGGAAGCGGAAUUUCUGGUGUAGCAGUGAAAUGCGUAGAUAUCAGAAGGAACAUCAGUGGCGAAGGCGGCUUCCUGGACCAAUACUGACGAUCAGGUGCGAAAGCGUGGGGAGCAAAC